CUGCAGAAGAGGUCACUACACAGAUUCUUAAAUUUGUUUUUCAAUUUGAAGCCCCUAAAAGAAUUCUGACAGACCAAGGCACAGAGUUUGUCAAUUCGAUAAAUAAGAAUGUCUGUGAAAAACUGGGCAUUAAAAGGAGUCUCUGUGCACCCUACCAUCCACAAACAAAUGGUUUGGUGGAAAGAAUGAAUGCCACUAUCCAAAGGUCUCUGUGCAAACUUGUGGGGUCGAAACCAGAAACCUGGGAUGAGUAUCUCGAUGCGGUCAUGUUUGGACUUAGGACCAAAAAACAGAUGACUACAAAGUUUUCCCCUUUUUUUCUUAUGUUUGGACGUGAAGCUCGAUAUCCGUUUGAGAUCCCAGAGAAAUAUGAGAUCAACAACACUGUUGAGCAGGUUAUGGAGGAAGAGACUGUGACAGAAUGCAUAAAGCAUUUGGAUGCCAUUAAAG